GUGCGUUUCUCCUUCAGCCAUGAUUCUGAGGCCUCCCCAGCCAUGUGGAACUGAAAGCUUGCAAGAGGUCACUCACGGUGUCUAUGCAUAUCCUAUUUGCCUGCCUCAGCUGGAUGUCAAGAGGAAUGCACCAGCAUUGGAGCACACUGCCUGAUGCCAGCAGGCCAUCAACUGGCUGAAUGACAUGGAGUUUGGCUGGCACAAUCAGAGGAGAGCUGGGCUGCUAAGCAGCUGGACUCUAGGGGAAAACCACCUUCCUACUCCAUCUCCCUGCCGCCUCUCCCAUCUGCUGAGAGCU